rnacentral:rRNA from 1 species
AUUGAACGCUAGCGGGAUGCUUUACACAUGCAAGUCGAACGGCAGCGCGGACUUCGGUCUGGCGGCGAGUGGCGAACGGGUGAGUAAUGUAUCGGAACGUGCCCAGUAGCGGGGGAUAACUACGCGAAAGCGUAGCUAAUACCGCAUACGCCCUACGGGGGAAAGGGGGGGAUCGCAAGACCUCUCACUAUUGGAGCGGCCGAUAUCGGAUUAGCUAGUUGGUGAGGUAAAGGCUCACCAAGGCGACGAUCCGUAGCUGGUUUGAGAGGACGACCAGCCACACUGGGACUGAGACACGGCCCAGACUCCGACGGGAGGCAGCAGUGGGGAAUUUUGGACAAUGGGGGCAACCCUGUUCCAGCCAUCCCGCGUGUGCGAUGAAGGCCUUCGGGUUGUAAAGCACUGUUGGCAGGGAAGAAAAGUUUCGGGCUAAUACCCUGGAGCGAUGACGGUACCUGCAGAAUAAGCACCGGCUAACUACGUGCCAGCAGCCGCCGUAA